rnacentral:rRNA from 1 species
UACGUAGGUGGCGAGCGUUGUCCGGAUUUACUGGGCGUAAAGAGCGCGCAGGCGGUCGUUCAAGUCGCGUGUGAAAGCCCCCGGCUCAACUGGGGAGGGUCACGCGAUACUGAUCGACUCGAAGGCAGGGGAGACUGGAAUUCCUGGUGUAGCGGUGGAAUGCGCAGAUAUCAGGAGGAACACCAACGGCGAAGGCAGCUCGCUGGGACGGUACUGACGCUGAGGCGCGAAAGCGUGGGGAGCAAACAGG